rnacentral:rRNA from 1 species
AGUGAACGCUGGCGGUAGGCCUAACACAUGCAAGUCGAACGGCAGCACCGUAAGAGCUUGCUCUUCCGGGUGGCGAGUGGCGGACGGGUGAGGAAUACAUCGUAAUCUACUUUUUCGUGGGGGUUCACGUAGGGAAACUUACGCUAAUACCGCAUACGACCUACGGUUGAAAGCAGGGGAUCUUCGGACCUUGCGCGAUUGAAUUAGCCGAUGUCGGGUUAGCUAGUUGGCGGGGUAAAGGCCCACCAAGGCGACGAUACGUAGCUGGUCUGAGAGGAUGAUCAGCGACACUGGAAGUGAGACACGGUCCAGACGCCUACGGGAGGCAGCAGUGGGGAAUAUUGGACAAUGGGCGCAAGCCUGAUCCAGCCAGACCGCGUGGGUGAAGAAGGCGUUCGGGUUGGAAAGACCUUUUGUUGGGAAAGAAAAGCAGUAGGUUAAUACCAAGCGGGUCUGACGGUACCCAAAGAAUAAGCACCGGCUAACUUCGUG